rnacentral:rRNA from 1 species
AUGGACUUGCUUAAAUUUCUUGUCACGCCGCUACUGCUAUCUCUUCUCACCCAUCAAACCUAUGUGGGCGGAGCAUCAGAUGAUGAAGAUUUCUCGAAACGAUGUUCAUCUCACAGGUGCAGCAGCAAACAUGGGCCUGAGAUAUGGUUCCCAUUCCGGCUUUCAACUCACCCACCAUCAUGUGGCGCACCAGGUAUGCAGUUAUCGUGCUCCGGGGAUGACACAAUCCUGGAUCACCCGGUUCUUGGCUCCUGCAAAGUAACAGCGAUCUAUUACAGACACCGCGUCAUCAACGUCACCCCGCUUGUGGAACCAGCGACACAGUGCCCACUUCAGAAGCUCAUCUCAACAAAUUUAGCAACUGAUGUGUACGAACUACCUCCAUCACCAACGACCCUGGUACGUUGUUCAAGCGAAUUCAUACCUGCAGAUCCACGCAGUGUAGCUGGCCCAGCUGCUUGUCUUGGUAACAACGCAACCCAAUUCUGGUAUUUGGCGGCGUCAGCUUAUGCAUACAUAUAUGAUCUACCACGGGACUGUGAGGCCGUUUUUAGAGGCAUUCCAGUACCCUACAGCUAUGGUAUAGAUGGCCCAAUCCUAGGAGACAAGUUUGCUUUCAAUAAAUAAGCGAGUACAGUCAUCAAUUUUGGUGAAACAACAUUCACUUGGCACCUCAGUAACCUUACCGAUCUCUGCCAACAAUGUGAAAAUGAAGGUCGGCACUGUGGAUUCAGUUCACGAAGCCGUCAAGCAUUCUGUCAGCCCCGUGGUAUUCUUUCUUUCCCUUGGCGUGUCAAUUUAUUUUGGAACAACAAUUCAAUCUCUUAUAUUCCGGGUUAA